GAUGAACGCUGGCGGCGUGCCUAAUACAUGCAAGUCGAGCGAACGGACGAGAAGCUUGCUUCUCUGAUGUUAGCGGCGGACGGGUGAGUAACACGUGGAUAACCUACCUAUAAGACUGGGAUAACUUCGGGAAACCGGAGCUAAUACCGGAUAAUAUUUUGAACCGCAUGGUUCAAAAGUGAAAGACGGUCUUGCUGUCACUUAUAGAUGGAUCCGCGCUGCAUUAGCUAGUUGGUAAGGUAACGGCUUACCAAGGCAACGAUGCAUAGCCGACCUGAGAGGGUGAUCGGCCACACUGGAACUGAGACACGGUCCAGACUCCUACGGGAGGCAGCAGUAGGGAAUCUUCCGCAAUGGGCGAAAGCCUGACGGAGCAACGCCGCGUGAGUGAUGAAGGUCUUCGGAUCGUAAAACUCUGUUAUUAGGGAAGAACAUAUGUGUAAGUAACUGUGCACAUCUUGACGGUACCUAAUCAGAAAGCCACGGCUAACUACGUGCCAGCAGCCGCGGUAAUACGUAGGUGGCAAGCGUUAUCCGGAAUUAUUGGGCGUAAAGCGCGCGUAGGCGGUUUUUUAAGUCUGAUGUGAAAGCCCACGGCUCAACCGUGGAGGGUCAUUGGAAACUGGAAAACUUGAGUGCAGAAGAGGAAAGUGGAAUUCCAUGUGUAGCGGUGAAAUGCGCAGAGAUAUGGAGGAACACCAGUGGCGAAGGCGACUUUCUGGUCUGUAACUGACGCUGAUGUGCGAAAGCGUGGGGAUCAAACAGGAUUAGAUACCCUGGUAGUCCACGCCGUAAACGAUGAGUGCUAAGUGUUAGGGGGUUUCCGCCCCUUAGUGCUGCAGCUAACACAUUAAGCACUCCGCCUGGGGAGUACGACCGCAAGGUUGAAACUCAAAGGAAUUGACGGGGACCCGCACAAGCGGUGGAGCAUGUGGUUUAAUUCGAAGCAACGCGAAGAACCUUACCAAAUCUUGACAUCCUUUGACAACUCUAGAGAUAGAGCCUUCCCCUUCGGGGGACAAAGUGACAGGUGGUGCAUGGUUGUCGUCAGCUCGUGUCGUGAGAUGUUGGGUUAAGUCCCGCAACGAGCGCAACCCUUAAGCUUAGUUGCCAUCAUUAAGUUGGGCACUCUAAGUUGACUGCCGGUGACAAACCGGAGGAAGGUGGGGAUGACGUCAAAUCAUCAUGCCCCUUAUGAUUUGGGCUACACACGUGCUACAAUGGACAAUACAAAGGGCAGCGAAACCGCGAGGUCAAGCAAAUCCCAUAAAGUUGUUCUCAGUUCGGAUUGUAGUCUGCAACUCGACUACAUGAAGCUGGAAUCGCUAGUAAUCGUAGAUCAGCAUGCUACGGUGAAUACGUUCCCGGGUCU
rnacentral:rRNA from 1 species